UACAGAGGGGGCAAGCGUUGUUCGGAAUUACUGGGCGUAAAGGGCGCGUAGGCGGCCUUCUAAGUCGCACGUGAAAUCCCUGGGCUCAACCCAGGAACUGCGUCCGAUACUGGAAGGCUUGAAUCCGGGAGAGGGAUGCGGAAUUCCAGGUGUAGCGGUGAAAUGCGUAGAUAUCUGGAGGAACACCGGUGGCGAAGGCGGCAUCCUGGACCGGUAUUGAUGCUGAGGCGCGAAAGCCAGGGGAGCAAACGGG
rnacentral:rRNA from 1 species